AUGGAUGGAAAUCUGAUCCAGCCAUGCCGCGUGCAGGAAGACGGCCCUAUGGGUUGUAAACUGCUUUUGUAUGGGAGCAAUAAGAUCUACGUGUAGAUUGAUGAGAGUACCAUACGAAUAAGCACCGGCUAACUCCGUGCCAGC
rnacentral:rRNA from 1 species